AGUGAACGCUGGCGGUAGGCCUAACACAUGCAAGUCGAACGGCAGCACAGUAAGAUCUUGCUCUUACGGGUGGCGAGUGGCGGACGGGUGAGGAAUACAUCGGAAUCUACUUUUUCGUGGGGGAUAACGUAGGGGAACUUACGCUAAUACCGCAUACGACCUACGGGUGAAAGCAGGGGAUCUUCGGACCUUGCGCGAUUGAAUGAGCCGAUGUCGGAUUAGCUGGUUGGCGGGGUAAAGGCCCACCAAGGCGACGAUCCGUAGCUGGUCUGAGAGGAUGAUCAGCCACACUGGAACUGAGACACGGUCCAGACUCCUACGGGAGGCAGCAGUGGGGAAUAUUGGACAAUGGGCGCAAGCCUGAUCCAGCCAUACCGCGUGGGUGAAGAAGGCCUUCGGGUUGUAAAGCCCUUUUGUUGGGAAAGAAAAGCAGCAGGUUAAUACCCCGCUGUUCUGACGGUACCCAAAGAAUAAGCACCGGCUAACUUCGUG
rnacentral:rRNA from 1 species